GUGAUUAUUUCAAAAUGGCGGCAAUCUCAAACAGUCGAGGAUUGAUGUUGAAAUUUGAUCCUGUAAAUAAAAAUGAAAAAGCGUAAGAAUAUGUCCAGUUUUCGUCCUCCUUUUCGAGAUCCAAGGUAAAUCUCUCUAAAAAAGUUAAUUUAAUAAAAAUAUUAGUUAUUAAAAGCAAGAGUUUUACGACAUGCGUGUUGCCUUGUUUACAACUGUCAUAUUUAAAUAAUUGCUUGGCAGGCAAAUUGCAGUAUACAUGAGUUAUUUAUUUUUUGUAUGUAUAUGUCACUUGCUUUUAAAAACAUCUGCCUGUAGGAAACUGUAAACAGGGCAAAGGCCAAAGAAUCUGAUGCCCUGAUCACAGUAAUCGGCUAUAAAUGCCUGUUUAGGGGAAAGAAAUUAUCUCCUAUGCAAAAUUCACAUAAAUUAUGUCUAUGACUGGUCUAACCACUGUGUAUAACCAGCAUGUUGUUUAUUGAUCUGGAUAUGUUUUCUAGUUUUCUCAAGUGAAACUUUUAUUUCAGGCAAAUCUCUGAAAGGAGGCUCGUAUGUGAAAAUCCUCCAAGCCAUUUUGUCUUUGCUCAAAUGACAAUUGGCUUGGAGGAUUUUUAUGAAAGAAUGAGGUGUGAGGACGGACGUAAAGAUGACAGUGUGUUGGAAAGUCAAGCAAUUGGUGGAGAAGAGUUUUCUCCAAGAGCUGGAU